rnacentral:rRNA from 1 species
AUUGAACGCUGGCGGCAGGCUUAACAUAUGCAAGUCGAGCGGAGAUGAGGUGCUUGCACCUUAUCUUAGCGGCGGACGGGUGAGUAAUGCUUAGGAAUCUGCCUAUUAGUGGGGGACAACAUUCCGAAAGGAAUGCUAAUACCGCAUACGCCCUACGGGGGAAAGCAGGGGAUCUUCGGACCUUGCGCUAAUAGAUGAGCCUAAGUCGGAUUAGCUAGUUGGGGGGGUAAAGGCCUACCAAGGCGACGAUCUGUAGCGGGUCUGAGAGGAUGAUCCGCCACACUGGGACUGAGACACGGCCCAGACUCCGACGGGAGGCAGCAGUGGGGAAUAUUGGACAAUGGGCGGAAGCCUGAUCCAGCCAUGCCGCGUGUGUGAAGAGGGCCUUUUGGUUGUAAAGCACUUUAAGCGAGGAGGAGGCUACCUGGAUUAAUACUCUAGGAUAGUGGACGUUACUCGCAGAAUAAGCACCGGCUAACUCUGUGCCAGCCGCCGCAGUAAUAC